AAAAAAGUAUGAAGAUUUUUGCAGUCAGCACGAUUGUGUUUAUUUCAUUUCAUUUUGAAGCCAUCUUUAUGUUUAAACUUACCAACCUUGAGAUACGAAAUGAGUAAAUUACCUUUAUUACUGAUAAAAAGCAACAGUCGU
ensembl:snoRNA snoRNA:Edc3-a